AGUGAACGCUGGCGGUAGGCCUAACACAUGCAAGUCGAACGGCAGCACAGUAAGAGCUUGCUCUUACGAGUGGCGAGUGGCGGACGGGUGAGGAAUACAUCGGAAUCUACUUUUUCGUGGGGGAUAACGUAGGGAAACUUACGCUAAUACCGCAUACGACCUACGGGUGAAAGCAGGGGAUCUUCGGACCUUGCGCGAUUGAAUGAGCCGAUGUCGGAUUAGCUAGUUGGCGGGGUAAAGGCCCACCAAGGCGACGAUCCGUAGCUGGUCUGAGAGGAUGAUCAGGCACACUGGAACUGAGACACGGUCCAGAAUCCUACGGGAGGCAGCAGUGGGGAAUAUUGGAAAAUGGGGGGAAGCCUGAUACAGGCAUACCGCGUGGGUGAAGAAGGCCUUCGGGUUGUAAAGCCCUUUUGUUGGGAAAGAAAAGCAGCAGGUUAAUACCCCGCUGUUCUGACGGUACCCAAAGAAUAAGCACCGGCUAACUUCGUG
rnacentral:rRNA from 1 species